rnacentral:rRNA from 1 species
AUUGAACGCUGGCGGCAGGCCUAACACAUGCAAGUCGAGCGGAGCGGCGGACGGGUGAGUAAUGCCUAGGAAUCUGCCUGGUAGUGGGGGAUAACGUCCGGAAACGGGCGCUAAUACCGCAUACUAUCAGAUGAGCCUAGGUCGGAUUAGCUAGUUGGUGGGGUAAAGGCCUAACAAGGCGACGAUCCGUAACUGGUCUGAGAGGAUGAUCAGUCACACUGGAGCGUAGACACGGUCCAGACUCAUACGGGAGGCAGCAGUAGCGAAGAUGCGACAAUGGGCCAGAGCCUGAACCAGCGAUUCCGCGUGGGUGAAGAAGGUCUUCGGAUUGUAAAGCACUUUAAGUUGGGAGGCGUUACCAACAGAAUAAGCACCGGCUAACUUCGUGCCAGCCGCCGCGGUAAUAC